rnacentral:rRNA from 1 species
GGGUCAGUAGGUUGGUCGUGCCACCGGUACGUACUGGUCUCACUGAUUCCUCCUUCCUGAAGAACCGUAAUGCCAUUCAUUUGGUGUUGCGGGGAAACAGGACUGUUACUUUGAAAAAAUUAGAGUGUUUAAAGCAAGCUAACGCUUGAAUACAUUAGCAUGGAAUAAUGAAAUAGGACGAUCGAUCCUAUUUUGUUGGUUUCUAGGAUUGACGUA